GUUAUCGGUUUUGUUAUCAAAAAUUUAAUUGUCAUUCUUAGGUGCAGUCAUGCAGUAUGUCGCAUGUUGUUAUUUAUCUCAGAAUUGUCCCGAAAUGUAGGUUGCUUUUGGUCCUAGAAGAAAGGAGGGAUUUGGCCUUACUGACGGUGAAGGGAUUGAAAGACUUUGGUCUUACCUCAGAGGAUUUUCAUCAAUGACAAAGGAAAUGACAGCUGGUCGAAGGGUUGACGUAUUGACAGAUGCGCUUCUUCACCAUGCAAGACAUCGUCUUCUACAGUUUGGCUAGUUGAAUAUUUCUUCCUUGGUGGAAUUAUGCCACCAAUAUCAUUACAGUAUUGAUAAUAUUUUUGCGACUAUACAUUUGUAAUUCAAUGUUUGAUUUUUCCCCACAGGUCCGGUGUUACAGCGGAUAGUGUCCCCCCGCGGAUAGUGUCCCCCCGGACACUAUCCGCUAGCGGAUAGUGUCCCCUUUAAUUACUUUACCGCGGAUAGUGUCCCCCACGUGAAAGUCCAAAACAAAAGUUAAUAUUUGCUAGAAAAUAUAUUUUAUAAAAAAAAUUUGCUUAGUAAUACAUUUUAACUACACAACAACAUACUUAACUACAUAAAGGAACAAGAAUAGCAAUAAUUUAUGUAUACAUUUAACUAUGAUACAGUACUUGAAAGUCAUCCGGAUAUUUCUCAUUUCGCAGAUAAUCGUAUAUUCGCUGAUACAAUGUUGACUCGUUCUCCAUACUAAACUCCAGCAGAUCACUUUUGAAAAUAAGUGGACAACUGUUUGGCAACUGGCAACUCUUUAUACAGUUGUUUUGCGGCUUUUCUUUGUGAGUCAUACAGCCAUUGUGCCUGGGCAUUCGUGAAAUGCUUUUGUGUAAUGUUGAUUAAUUCAGCCAUUGUGCAGCUAAUGAGCGCUUUUGUUUUUCAGGAAUGCCUUGCAAGUCAUUAGUCAUGUUUAUGUCGUAUAUUAAAGUUAUGAUAUUGUGUAAUAACAUGUUUAAAUUCGAAACACUAAUAACACUAAAAUUUGAAAUACAAAUUUAGAACUUUUUCAAUCACGUAAUCGUGAUCGACCAAAGAACUAAAUCUUCUUUAGUUGUUUUUAUCGGGGGGACACUAUUCGCGAAGGGGGGCAUUAUCCGCGUCGCGGAUAGUGUCCGGGGGGACAUAAUCCGCUAGCGGAUAGUGUCCGGAGGGACAUAAUCCGCUAGCGGAUAGUGUCCGGGGGGACACUUUCUGCGGGGAACACUAUCCGCUAGGACACCGGCAUUGAUGUCUAAAAUGCAAAAAAAAAAAGAAACUAAUGGAAAACUCAGUAGUACAGUUGGAGGAGAUCUUUUCAGAUUUAAAAGUUUCCUAUGGUACUGAUGUAAUUAACUCUUGGAUGAAAGCAGAAGAGAAUAUGUUGUAAACGAGAGGAAAGAGAAAACCAUCGCCCAUGUCGUGGGAGGCUAAAUACGUACAGAACUUAGUUUUCUUGCAGGAACUGAGGUUAGACUGAUAAUGAUGCCUAGGUCCAAGGGCGCCGUGAAAAUGGCGUAGGUGUGGCGUAUACAGAACGAUCGUACACGUCGUGUCGUGUUUGGUAGAUUUCUAAUAGGUCUCACGCGGACAAAUUUCUCAAUGCAAUUGUACAUGUCAUCAUAUCAGAUCAUCUGAUAAUAUAAUGACUAAUAAUGCCACAUAUUUUUACCUUAUUAAAUGUAGUGUAUUAUAUGACUAAUGGACCAAUUGCGUAAUAGACCAACUUAUUAUCUUGGCAUUCAGGAAGAAAUAAACCACCACAGCUAAAAAGAGCAUACCAAAAUUAGUAUAAUUGCCAGGUUUGGUUGCAAAAUGUCAACUAGUACGGAAA